rnacentral:rRNA from 1 species
UGGGGAAUAUUGGGCAAUGGACGCAAGUCUGACCCAGCGACGCCGCGUGAGGGAUGAAGGCCUUCGGGUUGUAAACCUCUUUCAGUAGGGAAGAAGCGAAAGUGAAGGUACCUGCAGAAGAAGCACCGGCUAACUAUGUG